UACAGAGGGGGCAAGCGUUGUUCGGAAUUACUGGGCGUAAAGGGCGCGUAGGCGGCCCGCUAAGUCGAACGUGAAAUCCCCGGGCUCAACCCGGGAACUGCGUCCGAUACUGGUGGGCUUGAAUCCGGGAGAGGGAUGCGGAAUUCCAGGUGUAGCGGUGAAAUGCGUAGAUAUCUGGAGGAACACCGAUGGCGAAGGCAGCCCCCUGGGCCGACACUGACGCUCAGGCACGAAAGCGUGGGGAGCAAACAGG
rnacentral:rRNA from 1 species